rnacentral:rRNA from 1 species
UGCCAGAGCCAUAUCUCCCUAUAGUUCUCACCUGGUUUCCCACUGACGCUAAGCAGGGUUGAGCCUAGCCAGUACUUCGACGGGUGACCUCCUGGAAAAAACUAAGGUUGCUGCUGUAA